rnacentral:rRNA from 1 species
GUGUCUCUAUCAGAGUUUGAUCCUGGCUCAGGAUGAACGCUGGCGGCGUGCCUAACACAUGCAAGUCGAGCGCGACUGAUUUGAUGCUUGCAUCAUUGAAAGUUGAGCGGCGGACGGGUGAGUAACGCGUGGGUAACCUGCCCUAUACACAUGGAUAACAUACUGAAAAGUUUACUAAUACAUGAUAAUGUAUAUUUACGGCAUCGUAGGUAUACCAAAGUGUUAGCGGUAUAGGAUGGACCCGCGUCUGAUUAGCUAGUUGGUGAGAUAACUGCCCACCAAGGCGACGAUCAGUAGCCGACCUGAGAGGGUGAUCGGCCACAUUGGAACUGAGACACGGUCCAA